UACGAACGCUGGCGGCGUGCUUAACACAUGCAAGUCGAACGGAAAGGCCCUGCUUUUGUGGGGUGCUCGAGUGGCGAACGGGUGAGUAACACGUGAGUAACCUGCCCUUGACUUUGGGAUAACUUCAGGAAACUGGGGCUAAUACCGGAUAGGAGCUCCUGCUGCAUGGUGGUGGUUGGAAAGUUUCGGCGGUUGGGGAUGGACUCGGGGCUUAUCAGCUUGUUGGGGGGGUAGUGGCUUACCAAGGCUUUGACGGGUAGCCGGCCUGGGAGGGUGACCGGCCACCUUGGGACUGCGAUACGGACCAGACUCCUACGGGAGGCAGCAGUGGGGAAUAUUGCACAGUGGGCGGAAGCCUGAUGCAGCAACGCCGCGUGCGGGAUGACGGCCUUCGGGUUGUAAACCGCUUUCGCCUGUGACGAAGCGUGAGUGACGGUAAUGGGUAAAGAAGCACCGGCUAACUACGUG
rnacentral:rRNA from 1 species